rnacentral:tRNA from 1 species
GCGGGAAUGGUGGAAUGGCAGACACACUUGAUUUAGGCUCAAGAUUUUGGGGGUUCGAAUCCCUCUUCCCGUA